AGGAUGCUAGGGGAAAUGAUGUUGAUCUUAGCCAGUAUAAGGGGAAGAUGCUCUUGAUGGUCAAUGUCUCAUCCCAAUGGUGGAUGUGAAUGGUAAAGAAGCUGCUCCGUUGUACAAGUUCUUGAAGUCUAGCAAUGGUGGGCCUAUUUGGAGACAAUAUAAAGUGGAAUUUUUCUAAAUUCCUGGUCGAUAAAGAUGGGAAUGUUGUUGACCGUUAUGCAAAGGUGGCCAUAGAAAAAAUGAAGCCAUAGCUUGUUUUGUAAUGGACUUUUGUUUUUGUACUGGACUUUUGCAUUUGUAUUGGACAUGCCACUAAGUAAUUAUUCUAACAUAUUUUGGUGUAUUGAGAAGUUGUACAUGUCUAUCUCGAACUUUGUUGGAGCUUGGAGUUGUAAAUAUGUGUAGCUCUAGUUUUGGUAAUUUGACAAGUUCUACUAGACUUUUGCAUCUA